AUUUAUCUUCGGGGCUGGGUGAGAUUCCCGACCGGCGGUGAUAAGGCAGUUGCCUUUCAGUCCGCGAGCCGGAUUUCCGGCAGGAUUUGGUGAAAUUCCAAAACCGACAGUAUAGUCUGGAUGGGAGAAGAUAAAG
rfam:Bacillus coagulans 36D1, complete genome.